rnacentral:rRNA from 1 species
GACGUAGGGCGCGAGCGUUGUCCGGAUUUAUUGGGCGUAAAGAGCUCGUAGGCGGCUUGUCGCGUCGACUGUGAAAACCCGCGGCUCAACUGCGGGCUUGCAGUCGAUACGGGCAGGCUAGAGUUCGGUAGGGAGACUGGAAUUCCUGGUGUAGCGGUGAAAUGCGCAGAUAUCAGGAAGAACACCCGUGGCGAAAGCGGCUCUCGUGGAACGGUACUGACGCUGAGACGCGAAAGCGUGGGGAGCGAACAGG